rnacentral:lncRNA from 1 species
UUGUAUUUUGAAUCACUAAUGAUGAAUUAUGUUCUUAUGUUUAUUUUCGCCUAAUUUUUAUUUUAUUGUUUUUAAAUAGAGUAGACAAUUUUGAUUAUUAGUUAAAAUAUCUUGUAGGGGUUGUACAAAUAGUUUUAGAUAACAGAGUUUCUUUCAAUUGAAAUUGCAAUAAGGUAAGUUCGUAAAUUCAAGUACUCCAUCUUCAAGUUGUUUGACAGUAUAAAAUCUUUAAUGAUAUUAUAAACAGUUGUUCUAGGUAUGAAGCCUAGGCGUCAAAUUCGUGGGUUGGGAGAUGGUCGCCUUUGAGACACAGGGGUAUCAUCUUCUAUUGUACUGAGUUUGGAUAAGGAGUUAGAAGCAGAACGUGCUGCUCGAAAGGCUCGAGUGAAGAUGGAGCAAAAGAUGCAGAAAAAGCUGAAGUUUGUUGAGCAACAAUUUAAUUUUACAUUGCAGUCUUGGCAUCAUUCUAUACACCAGCUAUGUGGUAAAGCUCCUGCUUCAGUGUACCAUCAUUUACACCAUUGUCAAUACAGAAUAAUGCUAAUAAGGAAGAUGAUGCAAUUGAGUACGAAGGGAAUAACUUUGUCAAAAACCAGCUACAUAUCUAAUUUAUGAGGAUGAAGAGUUAUAUUUUAAGGUGCAUAAUAAUAGAUGCAGAGCAUAUUGGUCUUAAAUGUAGACGUAACCAUAUUUGGUGAAUGGUUUUUAUCUUUAUUUUGGUGAAAUAUUUUGGAUUUAAUUAAGGUUACAUUGAUUGACACUA